GCUUACUAAACGUCUGCCAAACGACGUCGUUAAUGAAGAAUUAGGAGUAUGGCAUUUUCUGACAUAAAGAACGAAAAAUUGAAGGCCACGAAUGAUUUUUAAAAAAGAAUAUUAUUAGCUUAAAAUGAUUUUGAGGGGAGAGAUAUUAUAAGGUUGAAAGACGUAUAUGGCUGAUCUUGAAUUGCACUAAAGACUAAAGUUAGUUUAUUAUUGGCACCUUAUCUUACCGACCAGCCGGUGGAAAAAUAGUACCGACCAGUCUAAUAAUAUGAUGGAUCCUUACUAGAAAUUAUAUAAGCGCAGAAUGUUCACUGUAAAAAGUAAAAUUAAUUAAGAAUGGUAAACAAAUUUAUCCAACAGAGUCAAAAUCAAGAACUUGGACUUUUGUAAAUAAGAUCUAUGAAUAUUACUGUAGGGACAACAUAUGAAUUGAGUGAUAUAAUAAGGUAGUGCUAACCAACUUUGUCACGGGUUUCGAGUGGACGGCGACGGAAAGUUCUUAAAACGGAGUGAUCAAACUCAAUAGUUUUAUUUUGCAGAAAUGUACUGUAAGCUUGGAAGAGCUUGGAGAUGACGGAUACAUGUGACUAGUCCAAUAAAAGAGCAACCGGCGUUAAACGACGUAUAUGUUUGCCUUCAAAUUACAUGUUAGUGUUACAGCUACGGGCCCAAAUAAUAGAACUAGAAGCCCAAUUAUUGGAUAUAAAAAGUACAUUAUCUUUCUUUUUUUUUAACGACAAACUAUUUUAUUAAUAUCAAACUGGAUUCAAAUGUUUACAUGAAACAUAAGAGAUAAACAACACAUUUUUAAGAAGAUUUUGAAAUUGGAAAAAUAAUAACACGUUGCUAUCUAACUCAUCCGUAGAAUAGGCUGAUACGCUAACUUUAUCCAUCUUCGUUCUCGGUCUUAGAUGAUCUUGUUUUUGGUUGUCAUGCAUUGUGACCAAAAGCCUCUUUUCUUUUCGAAGAUCAUUCGAUUGGAUCCAUCUGUUACAUCUCAAUCCGUCCUAUACACUUCCGCUGCAGGAGAUAACAUGUGUUGUUAUUGUCUUAACUCUCCAUGAUCUAGGUUUUCUCCCGAUUUGAAACCAACAAACACAAUAACUAAAGUACUCCACAUUGUGUUGAUGUUGUAAUAUAACCAUUGGACGCUGUUUCAGAACACUAUUUCCUUCAUCUUGGCCAUUACCAGACUCCUCCCAUUUUUUAUUUUUUGGUACAUUAUCUUUCAUAUUUUUUAAAUACUACCAUAAAGUUUUUUUUUUUCAUUUAAGAACUUAAAAGACCUUCAUUAAUAAUUUAGAUUUUAUAACUUUGAAAAUGUACUGUCUGAUAGUUAUUAGCGGAAAAAUGAUGUACAUCAACAUAGAGAAAUUUGUUAGCAUAUUAAAAAAAUUAUAUGAAAUAACGAAAAAUAUACAUAUCAUCACUUGAUAAACAUCUAGGGAGAUCCAAUAACACAUGUAUAAUCUGAUUACCAAAAAAAAAAAAAAAACACAUGUAUAAUCUAUUUGGAACUCUACUAUUUUACAUACUGAGAAUGUAUAUAA